UACGUAGGGGGCUAGCGUUGUCCGGAUUUAUUGGGCGUAAAGAGCGUGUAGGCGGCCAGGUAGGUCCGGUGUGAAAACUCGAGGCUUAACCUCGAGAUGUCAUCGGAAACCAUCUGGCUAGAGUCCGGAAGAGGAGAGUGGAAUUCCUGGUGUAGCGGUGAAAUGCGCAGAUAUCAGGAAGAACACCCGUGGCUAAGGCGGUUCUCUAGUACGGUACUGACGCUGAGACGCGAAAGCGUGGGGAGCGAACAGG
rnacentral:rRNA from 1 species